rnacentral:rRNA from 1 species
AGUGAACGCUGGCGGUAGGCCUAACACAUGCAAGUCGAACGGCAGCACAGUAAGAGCUUGCUCUUACGGGUGGCGAGUGGCGGACGGGUGAGGAAUACAUCGGAAUCUACUUUUUCGUGGGGGAUAACGUAGGGAAACUUACGCUACUACCGCAUACGACCUACGGGUGAAAGCAGGGGAUCUUCGGACCUUGCGCGAUUGAAUGAGCCGAUGUCGGAUUAGCUAGUUGGCGGGGUAAAGGCCCACCAAGGCGACGAUCCGUAGCUGGUCUGAGGGGAUGAUCAGCCACACUGGAACUGAGACACGGUCCAGACUCCUACGGGAGGCAGCAGUGGGGAAUAUUGGACAAUGGGCGCAAGCCUGAUCCAGCCAUGCCGCGUGGGUGAAGAAGGCCUUCGGGUUGUAAAGCCCUGUUGUUGGGAAAGAAAAGCAGCAGGUUAAUACCCCGCUGUUCUGACGGUACCCAAAGAAUAAGCACCGGCUAACUUCGUG